AGCUAUCUCAAAAAAAGCAAGAAGAAAAAGCAUGCCAGCUGUAUAUUUCCCCCCAACUAAGCCAGCUGAAGUAUCACCUGUCCAAGAAAUAAUCACUAAUCA